GGGAAUAUAGCUCAGUGGCAGAGCACGUGCUUAGCAUGCACAAGGUCCUGGAUUCAAUCCCCAGUAUGUCCG
rnacentral:tRNA from 1 species